UCAGGCCUAACACAUGCAAGUCGAACGCCCUCUUCGGAGGGAGUGGCAGACGGGUGAGUAACGCGUGGGAACCUACCUAUCAGUACGGAACAACUCAGGGAAACUUGUGCUAAUACCGUAUACGUCCUUCGGGAGAAAGAUUUAUCGCUGAUAGAUGGGCCCGCGUUAGAUUAGCUAGUUGGUGAGGUAACGGCUCACCAAGGCGACGAUCUAUAGCUGGUCUGAGAGGAUGAUCAGCCACACUGGAACUGAGACACGGUCCAGACUCCUACGGGAGGCAGCAGUGGGGAAUAUUGGACAAUGGGCGCAAGCCUGAUCCAGCCAUGCCGCGUGAGUGAUGAAGGCCCUAGGGUUGUAAAGCUCUUUCAACGGUGAAGAUAAUGACGGUAGCCGUAGAAGAAGCCCCGGCUAACUUCGUGCCAGCAGCCGCGGUAAUACGAAGGGGGCGAGCGUUGUUCGGAAUCACUGGGCGUAAAGCGUACGUAGGCGGAUAGAUUAGUUAGGGGUGAAAUCCCGAGGCUCAACCUCGGAACUGCCUCUAAUACUGUCUAUCUAGAGAUCGAGAGAGGUGAGUGGAAUUCCUAGUGUAGAGGUGAAAUUCGUAGAUAUUAGGAAGAACACCAGAGGCGAAGGCGGCUCACUGGCUCGAUACUGACGCUGAGGUACGAAAGCGUGGGGAGCAAACAGGAUUAGAUACCCU
rnacentral:rRNA from 1 species